UACGUAGGGUCCGAGCGUUGUCCGGAAUUAUUGGGUGCGUAAAAGGGCUCGUAGGCGGUUCGUCACGUCGGGAGUGAAAACUCGGAGCUUAACUCCGAGCCUGACUUCCGAUACGGGCAGACUAGAGGUGAGGCAGGGGAGAGCGGAACUCCUGGUGUAGCGGUGGAAUGCGCAGAUAUCAGGAAGAACACCGGUGGCGAAGGCGGCUCUCUGGGCCUUACCUGACGCUGAGGAGCGAAAGGCGUGGGUAGCGAACAGG
rnacentral:rRNA from 1 species